UUGGCUUCAAUAACUGAUACCCAAUAUGAUUGCAUAAUUGGAAUGCAGGAAACUGCUUUUAGUAAGGAUAUGGGUUUCAACCCAUUUGAAUAGGCGAUUGAGCAUGUUGUUUUGUUUUUUGAAAGCAUUGCUCUUUUUUGUUCAACUAGUGCUUUUAGUACAUGUUACAAGAAUUUUUUGGACGCAUUGCUCUUUUUUGGCUGAUCGUGGUGUAUAGUUUUUGCAAGUGUGGAAUAGUUGGAAUGGUGCAUGGUUUUUGUAAGUGCUGAACAUGUGGAAUGGUGUACAGUUUUUGUAAGUGUUGAAUAGAUGCAAGCUACUUUUGGCUACAACAGCUACCUAUCUAUUUGCUGUAUCCAUGAGAUGAGUAUAUGAUUCAUCUGUUUAUUCAACUAAAGAGCUGAAGAGCUUCAUUGUGAUCUAACUCAUUAACCAGAUGCUGCUCUAUAUAGUUUACAAGAAGGCCAAUUCGGUUCUGGUCUUGGAGGAGUUGAAGCUGCAUGUACUUGAGUACAUCAUUAGACAUAUGCUCAUUACCACACUUGUAUGGUGGUUUUUAAGUUUAUUAACAUGC